rnacentral:misc_RNA from 1 species
GGGAAUUGUGAAGAGGAAAAUUUUUUUAAGUCUAUAUGGGGGGAGUAUUUUAGAGAACUAUAUUUAAUAACAACAACCAUUGUGUGGCUGCAUUUAAAAAAUGCCAUUGCAUUAUCUGGUAUCUGGCAUCAUGCAACACCGGAUUGCAGAUCUCUUUGUGCAACAGCCUUUGCAUAGUGAUUGGUAGCUUAAUGCAUUAAGCUUAAUUAACGGUUAACUCACUUCCUCUCAAAAUUCUGUAUUUCUGCACUUGCACUUUCAUCCCAACUGCUUUUGAUUCUAAUUUUUCCGUGAAAGAACCUCAAAUAUCAUGCAAUGAGUAAUGAAUUUUGACCU